AUUACACCAAAAAAAAACAUAUACAAAAAACUCUCGGGGAGGCCUAUUCUUUCGAUAGGCGCCUUUCCCACACAUACACACAGCAAAGUUUUUGUACUCAAAAACAACAUUUGCAGUAAACAAAAAAAGGCCGAUCGACGUUAUAGCGCACAACCGCGUAUAUACAAAAGCAGAGAAAAAUGCCCGUUUCAAUACGGCGUUUUCCGUUUUUGGGGCGGGGGGUGCGUGUGUGGAUAACGGCUCACAUAACGUGUCGCGAUGGAUGACUUGGCUUCCUAUUUCGUUGAAGAACGCAGUA
rnacentral:misc_RNA from 1 species